AACUGCCAAUAACAAUAUAAAAAGAAGAAAAGAACUUUGGGCCCUCAUGGAAAAUUCCAGCCACACAUGCAGACCAGUUAUACUUUCACUUUUCCUUUUGACAUCACUGGCUUGAAAGUCAUGCAACGAUUCAAAGCGUCUUUUGCCUCUCACCAAAGCAGAUAAGUUUAUUAGGAGCAGACUCAGCAUAACGUUUCUCUCUAUAAAAACAGCAUCUGUUAGGGUUCAUAAAAAGGAAGCUGCGUUGAUAAAAACCAGAUCGAAAAAAAGCAAAGACCUACAGUGAAGAUGAGAAGCUGAUGACAUGGAGGAUCACGAUAAUGCAGCAGGAGCAGGAGGAAGAGAAGAAAUCAAAUCAUUGAAAAAAGAUGAGCUGACGGUAGAUGAAACUACAGCAAUGUCUGGUCCAGUAAAUAAAUCUGGCGAAACUCAACCUUCAGAGAAUAUCAAUCAAAGUACAGGAGGAGAGUCUGAAAACGCAUCUGAACCAUCUGACACCAUUG